AUUACCGCGGCUGCUGGCAGGAAGUUAGCCGGGGCUUCUUCUUCCGGUACCGUCAUAAUCGUCCCGAUCGAAAGGAGUUUACAUCCCAAGGGAUUUCAUCCUCCACGCGGCGUUGCUGCGUCAGGGUUUCCCCCAUUGCGCAAAAUUCCCCACUGCUGCCUCCCGUAGG
rnacentral:rRNA from 1 species